UUUCCGUAGGUGAACCAGCGGAAGGAUCAUUAAUGAGUUGUCAUGGGGUUCGAUGCUGGCAGCCAAUUUUUGGAUGCAUGUGCUUGCCCUAACAAUCAUCUUCCAAACACCUGUGCACAUUUUUGAGGGAGUCUUGAGUUGGUUGCCGCUCUUGGGUGAUUUUCUCACAUUCCCUUAAAUCAUUAUACGCUAUUAACAAUGUUGAACGUGCUCUGUGCCGCAAGGCUAUUAAUAUAAUACAACUUUUAACAACGGAUCUCUUGGCUCUC
rnacentral:misc_RNA from 1 species